CCUACGGGAGGCUGCAGUAGGGAAUAUUGCUCAAUGGGGGAAACCCUGAAGCAGCAACGCCGCGUGGAGGAUGAAGGUUUUAGGAUUGUAAACUCCUUUUGUGAGAGACGAUCAUGACGGUAUCCCACGAAAAAGCAUCGGCUAACUACGUGCCAGCAGCCGCGGUAAUACGGAGGCUGCGAGCGUUGUCCGGUUUUAUUGGGUUUAACGGGUGCGCAGGCGGUCUGUUAAGUCAGCGGUCAAAGCCCGGGUCUCAACCCCGGCCCGCCGUUGAAACUGGCAGUCUCGAGUUGGAGAGAAGUAUGCGGAAUGCGCGGUGUAGCGGUGAAACUCAUAGAUAUCGCGCAGAACUCCGAUUGCGAAGGCAGCAUGCCGGCUCCACACUGACGCUGAGGCACGAAAGCGUGGGUAUCGAACAGGAUUAGAUACCCGAGUAGUC
rnacentral:rRNA from 1 species